UACAGAGGGGCAAGCGUUGUUCGGAAUUACUGGGCGUAAAGGGCGCGUAGGCGGCCUUCUAAGUCGAACGUGAAAUCCCCGGGCUCAACCCGGGAACUGCGUCCGAUACUGGAAGGCUUGAAUCCGGGAGAGGGAUGCGGAAUUCCGAGGUGUAGCGGUGAAAUGCGUAGAUAAUUGGGAGGAACACCAGUGGCGAAGGCGG
rnacentral:rRNA from 1 species